GGGUCUGUAGCUCAGGAGGUGAAGCGCACCCCUGAUAAGGGUGAGGUCGGUGGUUCGAGUCCACUCAGACCCACCA
rnacentral:tRNA from 1 species